CCUACGGGUGGCAGCAGUGGGGAAUAUUGGACAAUGGGCGCAAGCCUGAUCCAGCGACGCCGCGUGAGUGAAGAAGUCUUUCGGUUUGUAAAGCUCUAUUGGCAGGGACGAAACAAGUGACGGUACCUGACUAAUAAGCCACGGCUAACUACGUGCCAGCAGCCGCGGUAAUACGUAGGGGGCAAGCGUUAUCCGGAUUUACUGGGUGUAAAGGGCGUGUAGGCGGGACUGCAAGUCAGAUGUGAAAGCCAGGGGCUCAACCUGUGGACUGCAUUUGAAACUGUAGGUCUUGAGUGCAGGAGAGGCAAGUGGAAUUCCUAGUGUAGCGGUGAAAUGCGUAGAUAUUAGGAGGAACACCAGUGGCGAAGGCGGUCUGCUGGACUGUAACUGACGUUGAGGCUCGAAAGCGUGGGGAGCAAACAGGAUUAGAUACCCUGGUAGUC
rnacentral:rRNA from 1 species